UUGAGUGGCGAACGGGUGAGUAACACGUGGGCAACCUGCCCAAAAGAGGGGGAUAACACUUGGAAACAGGUGCUAAUACCGCCUAACCAUAGUUACCGCAUGGUAACUAUGUAAAAGGUGGCUAUACUACCGCUUUUGGAUGGGCCCGCGGCGCAUUAGCUAGUUGGUAGGGUAAAGGCUUACCAAGGCAAUGAUGCGUAGCCGAAUUGAGAGGUUGAUCGGCCACAUUGGGACUGAGACACGGCCCAAACUCCUACGGGAGGCAGCAG
rnacentral:rRNA from 1 species